CUUCUUUUUGCUCUCAAUUGGAACAUUGAGCUUUGCCCGAGAGGUGGCAAUAGUUCACACCAACAUAGCCAUGAUUUUUGAGAAUACUCUGACGUUUGCCACACUUUUCUCCACUCUUGCAUCUUUAGCAAGAAGUACGUGCCUUGAGCCUCCGUCAACGCCUGAUUGCAGUUACCAGUUUUUCCAUGGACGAUGGGUUUGCCAUUCCAACACACUCAAGGACAAUUAUAUAGAAGCCCAGUCCCAUUGUGAGAGCUUUGGAGGCAAGUUGGCCACCAUCAACAAUAAAUGGGACUUCAAGAGUGUGAAUGAGAUCCAUCGAAUACAUGGCACGAACAAGCCCCAUUACGUUGGACUUGAGCCGAUAUCAGAUACAGUCUCAUGUCAAAACGAGGAAUGUGCCAAUCAAGUAAUGAGCGUUGAGAAGGUGGUUCUUGCCUCCGUCGACUACAUGGUGGCGGAAUCCCUUUUGAUAGAGCCCCUUUCUGGAUGUGCCAGGAUUAAAGAUACCGGGUUCAUCCAUGGGACUUUGGCUACGAAAUGUCUCAUUGAAGAACGAUUAUUCAUUUGCAUGUCCACAUGUUCUUCGCGUUGCGAUGAGGACCCACCAAACCCUUCGGAUCACAUGACGUUCGAUUAUGAUUCAGAUAUGUUCCCAGAGGAGGGAACAUCAAUCAGUUUUUAAAGACCGUCAAUGAUGGACCGGCACAAACAAAUCGCAACAAAAAGUUGAGUGACACAAAUGAACGUCGCGAGAACAGAUCUAAAGAUUGACCUCACCAAUGCAUGAAACAACUUUCUGUUGGUCAUCCUCACCAUUAGCCCCGUGAAGCCUUACAAAGGCUUUCGUGAUUUGCAUGGACGUGUUGGUUUUGCUCUUCCAGCUAUUAUGACUGUACGUACUUUCUUCUUGGCCUUUAAUUUGUUAUUGUGAAGUUGCAAUAUUCACAUAGCGCAUAUACACAUGUCUACAUACACAUAUUAGUUGGAUUCUUGGAUGGUCAGCCUACCCCUCUUGUCUCACCGGUGAGACGAUUGACACAAGUUAAAAAGCCAUUUUGAAGGUUGUUAGAAAUGGCCAAACAAAUCUUGGUAAUUUUUUGCCAAAUGAGCGUUUCUUCUGAGCCAGAAUUCAAUUUCCUCAAUCAAAUCAACAGUGCUCGUCAUGAUUUUGUGAGUAAAGGAAGUGGAAUUUGAGUAUUUUUCUCAAAGCUGGAUAAGGCAUUUUGAACAUAUUGAUGAGAGGGGUGAGACGAGAGGAGGGGAAAGGAGAGGACCGUAUCCAAGAAUCAAGCUACCAUCUUACCGUGGCAAAUCAAAAAUACAAGUACGAGUUCCUGGACUUUUUGCUGGACUCGAGUCCGUCAGAAAACUAGAGCCCUUUACUAGAGCCAAGUUUAGCAAAAAGACUCGUCUUGCCAAAUUCUAAGAUAAAACUGAAUGUUUUUGUCUUGAUGGGUCCAUUCUAAAAGACUCAAGUCCGGCCACUUUCUCCAAAAUCGAGUAAAAGACUCGAGUGCACUCGGACUCCAGUCCGGACUUGGCCCAGCGUUAGUAUUUAGGUACAAAGUCCAGUAGCAAUGGCAAUCUCAUGCUGAAAAAGUAAUACAACAAACAUCCAAAGAAGAAAGUUUGAACAUACCAAUCGUUAUGGCCUUCAUUUACCACCACUUCAGCCUCCAAACUAGGAGGAACUCCAUCACAACCGGCACGUGAGGAAAGUAAGCUACGUUAUGCUCAUUCGUCAUGACUGCUUUACUUUUCCCGCACAGAGACGACAUGUGUUGGGUUUGUGAAAUUGGUUCCUGAAAAUGAGUAUAAUUUGUAUGUAGCUAACCAUAACACAUGGCCAAAGUUCAAAUAUUAACCCGCUAUUUUUUCAUUUGAAUGUUUGAUCGAUUCUUUUUUCAAUGAAAUUGCCGUUAUGUCUGGCCAUUCUGUAUAUUUAAAGCGCGUAUGUACAGGGAGACAAAACUCUGGACAAAACUGUCUAGUUUGCUCUUUUAAAUUUCCCCGUUAAAGUUAAAAUUGAAAAUUAAUCUAAAUUUCUAAAAAUCCAACUACAACUUGAUGGGUUGCACGCAGAGGGCCGUCUAGUUGCACGUAUUUCAGUGACCAAAACGAGUGAGCAAGAAGCUAAAAGGCAAAUCAUUCACGAUUUGCUCAACACCCAUGUGAAAGUCAGCUACAACCAGGGUGGGCAAUUUUGAGAAUCAGCUUGAUUUUUGGACACCAAGUGGACAGAAGUGUCCAAAAGUGAACAAAAGUUGGCAGAAAAUGUCCAAAAGUACAAAUCAAUAAUUUAAAAAAUCUAAGCUUUCUAAAAAUACAAAUUUGAAUUAGCAACUAGCCUUUGUAGAAAACAGACAAAUAAUUUCAUUAACGUUUUUAAUUUACAAGAUGUAAACUAAAAUGUGUUUUUUUAUUUUUCUCACUUUCUGACAUCAAACGCAUCUUUAAAAAUUGAAAAAGUAUGCCUAACAAUAUUUAAAGUAACUUGCUUAUGGAAAAAACCAUAAAUGUAGGAAAAAUAUAUCAUUAGUAGAAUUUAUCAAUUGAGUGAGAUGUUCCAUUUUUAGUAUUAGCUCUUUUUAAGAGGAAAUUCCAAAUGACUGAUGAUUUUAAACAAAAAUAUUGUUGCAAAAAAGUUAAUGAUGUUGAAUAAAUGAAACUAUAUAACCAGAAUUUAAUAUGUAGCUACUCCAGUUUUGGAAUGCAUUGCACCAGCUCUAUUCUACAUGAGGGAGGCUUUGCUCCUUGCUGGCUGUCUAAGGUAAGAUAAAAAUAUCUAUUUUUGGGUAUGUUAGAGGUAUAUGGCAAAGGUCUUAAAGACUUAUUUUGCUUUUGGAACCAUCAAUGAUUAAUUUUUGAAGCAAAAGAUAGGUUUUGAAUAGAAUUUCUUUUAGAUUUGUAGUUUUAAAGUUUCGUAUUCUUUGGCAUUUUUGUCCACUUUUUUCCACCUUUUUUUGGACACUUUUGCACAGGGGUGGUCAAAAGUGUCCAAAAAUGAAAUGUCCACCCUGGCCCAGGCGAGUUUUUUAAACGCUCGUACCUCUGAGUUAAGACUUGGACGUUGCCCAGAAUGAGCAUUCGCUCAACAAUUUGGCCAGUGUAUUUUCAUACCGGGUAACGUCCAAGCGCCUAACUCCGAGGUAAGAGCUUUAAAAGACAGACCUCUCUGGAUGGAUCGUAUUUGUAUCAGACCUGUCCGACGAAUUCAACUGGUCAUGUGUCCGUGGGACUAGAGCUCUGGAUGCGGCAGAGGCAAUCACGUUCCUCAACAACGUCAAGGGCAAUCAAUAUAUUGACAAGGACCCCAUCAUUAGAAUGAGCUAUCAAAUGGGCUUAGAUUUUGAUUUAUUACAUAAGUUCCUGUUUUUCUAUGAAAACAUUGUUUUCUUGACUAGACUUCAAAGUUGGACAAUGGUACAUUUUUCGAAGCAUUUUUCAUAUUUUUUUAGCUAAUAUGUUGUCAAAAGACAGAAUUUCAGUCUGAUCGUCGUCAGACGGCAUGUAAAAAUAAUUUGCUCAUUGUUGGAUAUUUUAGUGACAUAGCCCAGAUUGAUAAUAAAAUGAUCAGCGUUUAAGAUCCAAUUAUGCCGCUGGUGGCUGGCCAAUAUCCGAGGUAGGACAGGAGAAAGACCUGGGGAUCCAUUACGAUGAAAAAAUAUCAUUCUCGGCCCACUGUGCCAAGAUGGCCAAUCCUGCUAAUUUGGUGAUGGAAAUGAUCAUGGAUUUCUUAUCAUCCUACAUUCGACCUAUUCAUGAAUAUGCCUUCUCCGUUCUUCCCUUUUGUCUCCUCCUAAGAAAAUGGUCUCCUUCAAAAACAUUGUACUCGCCAGAAAAAUUCGAUUGGCCCAGAGGGCGUGGAUUGGCUCGGGAGGUUAAGCACAACGAAUGAACAUCAGGGGACACUUCAACUACUUCACAAAACCCCAUGUAAGUAAGCGAGGUCUGAACCGAAGUCAAUCCCGGGACCUCAAUUUGAGCGUGGGCCAGAGAUUGGGGUGCCAAAGACUCUAGAUGAGUGCAAUUUCGAAAAAGAGUGCGAGUAUCAGCCAUUGCAUUAUUCUGUACUUAUUUCAAUUGAGCAUUCUAUGUUGUAGCGAUAAUUGUUUCUGUGUAUUUAUGCAUGUUCCCAUUUGUCCCCACACAAUAAGGUGAACAUACAAAAAAUCUCUGGUCGAGCUUUCACUUGGGCAUUUCUCUUGUUUCAGAUGGCAGCUAAGCCACUCAAUUUUCUUGCAUAAGAUUGAUUAGACCUGAGUUAAAGGAGCUGCCAUGCCAAAUUUUUAGUAUGAUCCCGGCUUUCUUUGACGAGUGAAAGUCAAUCAAUAUUUUGCUUUGUUUUUGAAGGAAAAUAUACGGUAUCACAAUGCAAGAAUGGCGUUUCCUAGCAAUUGAAUUAAAAAUGAUUUUUUUUUUUGGCAAAUUUCGUCCAAGUUGUGCAACUGCACGACCCCAAAUCACGGCUACUUUAUUGAGAAAUUCGAGAAGAAUUUUUUCUUCUUCUGCGUAGAUUUCGAGUCAACAUUACAAAAGCCCAUAUUUAUCAUUGAAAUCAUUGAAGAUUCUCAUCAUGCUAUAUGUAUAAUGUCAUAGCAAUUUACUCUUAGGGCUUUUCUCCAGCAUUUAUGGGUGACCGUGUCAGGAUUUCUUAGCUAUCAAGUGGAGCACUUUACAUCUCGUAAUGAUGUCAUUGUUUUCACGAGGAAGCCGGAAUGGAGGCAGCCAUUGUCAUUAGGAAAUGGUUGUCCUCUGCUAUUGUCACUGCACUUUCACUACAAUAAGGCCAACAUAUCAAUGAAGUAUUCACUCUUCGUUCGCAAUUCCCAUCUCGCGUAAACAGAUUCAGGGAGUAAAUAAGAAACGAGAAUACGUGCAUGCAGCAAGUAGUGGUUAAAUAAAACAACCGACAUUAUCGGGGCUCUCAGAAAUUAUUAAUAAUGAAAAUAUAUCUUAUAAUGAAAACAAAAAUGGGGAGGAACACUUUUAGAGUGCAUCAAAAGUGGCUGGCUCUUAAUUUCUUUCCGACCCCGUACUGCAUGUGGAUAUUUUUUCAGGUCAUGACUACUUUGGGCCUGUGGAUAGAGUAAAAUCAAUACGUUUAUGGAGAGGUAAUGCCACUGCCCGG